UUGCCCCUUUUCUCUCUUGCAAAAUGCAUAUCUAACGAUGCUUGUCGUGCCGAAUUGCUCUGCCUCGCCUUCUCUUGCCAUCGGAUGCUGUUUAGUUCCUUCGCCGAAAACCCUAACAACCUCGUACGAUUAGGUUAAUCCCUCUCUCUCUCUCUCUCUCACAUGCCAGAAACCAGGGAACCUCUGAACCUUUCAGCCUUUCCUCUCUCUCAAUCUCGACCGUCUCUCAAACAUAACUCACUUCCUCCUGGCCAACAUGCAUCUAUUUACCCCUUCUAGCAUACCAAAACUUAUUUUUGGUUCAAAGCGUCUUACAUCUCACCGUAGUCCCCGCACGAAGCCCAUGCACCCCUUUCUCUCACUCUCUCACUCACUCACUCUCUGUCUCUCUUCACCCAGGCAACUCCUGCCCCACAUCCCUGCAUCUUCUGCCUCAAGAAUCCAGAAAAUGAUAAUGGGAGAAGGCACCACAAAAGAGACACCGCCCAAACCGCUGGUAUCCUACAAGCUCCUCUGAAGGCGGGACACCACUCCUUGGCAGUCCAUUCAAAGAUCACUCCUCAAUGUUUACAACCAGGUGCCGUAUUUGGACAUCUGCUAGGGCACCGACCACCAUGGAGGUGAACCCCUCUUGCAAAACAGUCUCGAUCACCGAUGCCUGCAUCUUCUUUGAUAAAAUCCAACCCUCUCUCUCUCUCUCUCUCUCUCUCUCUCUCUUUCUUACAAUGCUAGAUAGGUCCAUAUUCUACUUCGUUUUAUCUUUUUGUGUUUCUCUAUUAGAAAGUCUUGUUGUAGAACAUGUUGAUAUAGGUUUGCUAUUUCUGUUAAUACUCUAUUCCAUACUUUGAAGAUGGUAGUCACGUAAAAUUGUACGUGUGUGCAUCUCUAGAAGAGCAAGGUUGGAUAUGAACGCUUCGAUUUCAGUCUAUAUUUGGAUCCAUUUCUAAUACAUUGUGUCUCUCAUUUUGCUACUUA